rnacentral:rRNA from 1 species
UACAGAGGGUGCGAGCGUUGUCCGGAAUCACUGGGCGUAAAGGGCGUGUAGGCGGCUGGAUAAGCCGCGUGUGAAAUCCCGGGGCUCAACCCCGGAACGGCACGCGGGACUGUUCGGCUAGAGAAUGGUAGAGGCAAGUGGAAUUCCUGGUGUAGCGGUGGAAUGCGCAGAUAUCAGGAAGAACACCCGUGGCGAAGGCGGUUCUCUGGGACGGUACUGACGCUGAGACGCGAAAGCGUGGGGAGCGAACAGG